UACGUAGGGGGCGAGCGUUGUCCGGAUUUAUUGGGCGUAAAGAGCUCGUAGGCGGUUCGGCAAGUCACGUGUGAAAUCUCCACGCUCAACGUGGAGGCGCCACGUGAGACUGCUGUGACUCGAGUCCGGUAGGGGAGCGUGGAAUUCCCGGUGUAGCGGUGAAAUGCGCAGAGAUCGGGAGGAACACCCGUAGCGAAGGCGGCGCCCUGGGCCGGUACUGACGCUGAGGAGCGAAAGCGUGGGGAGCAAACAGG
rnacentral:rRNA from 1 species